ACCCAGAUCCUUAGACUUGCGCCCCUCAUCUCUUCUCCCCUCUCCCCCCUCUCAAAUCCUUCUCAAAUCUUGCAAAUCCGGAGUAUUUGACCAUGGAUUUCGAAGCCAACCCCUCCCUUAAGGGAUGGGAGAACAUGUGUUUAUGUUCAUCAUGUGGAUAAAGAGGCCUUUUUGAAAGGCAAUGUUGAGCCGGACCCGGAUGAGCUUGACAUGGUGUUUGAGAGUAGUCCUAGCUAUGCGGAGCUCUUGGACCAAGUGAGGAAGGAUUUGAAUUGGAUGGACCCAAGUGACGUUGUUGAGUUCGAGGGAAGGCAUAAUGUACCUUGAGGAAUGCUUGUAGUGAACCAUCAUCAUUGCCUUUUCCAACCGGUGUGUUCUCCAGAA